rnacentral:rRNA from 1 species
AGCGAACGCUGGCGGCAGGCCUAACACAUGCAAGUCGAACGAACCUUUCGGGGUUAGUGGCGGACGGGUGAGUAACACGUGGGAACGUGCCUUUAGGUUCGGAAUAACUCAGGGAAACUUGUGCUAAUACCGAAUGUGCCCUUCGGGGGAAAGAUUUAUCGCCUUUAGAGCGGCCCGCGUCUGAUUAGCUAGUUGGUUGAGGUAAUGGCUCACCAAGGCGACGAUCAGUAGCUGGUCUGAGAGGAUGAUCAGCCACAUUGGGACUGAGAAACGGCCCAAACUCCUACGGGAGGCAGCAGUGGGGAAUCUUGCGCAAUGGGCGAAAGCCUGACGCAGCCAUGCCGCGUGAAUGAUGAAGGUCUUAGGAUUGUAAAAUUCUUUCACCGGGGACGAUAAUGACGGUACCCGGAGAAGAAGCCCCGGCUAACUUCGUG